rnacentral:rRNA from 1 species
UAGGGAAUAUUCCACAAUGGGCGAAAGCCUGAUGGAGCAACACCGCGUGGUCGAUGAAGCAUUUCGAUGUGUAAAGGCCUUUUCUGGGGGAAGAAUUAUGACGGUACCCUAGGAAUAAGCACCGGCUAACUCCGUGCCAGCAGCCGCGGUAAUACGGAGGGUGCAAGCGUUAAUCGGAAUCACUGGGCGUAAAGCGCGCGUAGGCGGUCUGGUCAGUCAGAUGUGAAAGCCCCGGGCUCAACCUGGGAAUUGCAUUUGAUACUGCCAGACUCGAGUGUGGUAGAGGGAAGUGGAAUUCCGAGUGUAGCGGUGAAAUGCGUAGAUAUUCGGAGGAACACCAGUGGCGAAGGCGACUUCCUGGACCAACACUGACGCUGAGGUGCGAAAGCGUGGGGAGCAAACAGG